rnacentral:rRNA from 1 species
AGCAGCCGCGGUAAUUCCAGCUCCAAUAGCGUAUAUUAAAGUUGUUGCAGUUAAAAAGCUCGUAGUUGAAUUUCGGGGUUAGUAGGUUGGUCAUGCCUCUGGUAUGUACUGGUCUCACUGAUUCCUCCUUCCUGAUGAGCCGUAAUGCCAUUAAUUUGGUGUUGCGGGGAAUUUGGACUGUUACUUUGAAAAAUUAGAGUGUUUAAAGCAAGCUAACGCUUGAAUACAUUAGCAUGGAAUAAUGAAAUAGGACGUUCGAUCCUAUUUUGUUGGUUUCUAGGAUUGACGUAAUGAUUAAUAGGGNUAGUUGGGGCAUUAGUAUUCAAUUGUCAGAGGUGAAAUUCUUGGAUUUAUUGAAGACUAACUACUGCGAAAGCAUUUGCCAAGGAUGUUUUCAUU